CCCCCAGCGCGCGCGCUCCCCAGGAGCUGCGCAAUCUGCGCGGCCACCUGCUCUCCUCUCCAGCAAGGCGUCGCUCCCUCCCUGCUGUGCGGAGUCCGGCCACCUCCGAGAGCCUCGGACCUGCUGGUGGCCUACCGAUCUUUGGAUCACUGCUGCCCUCAGCAUCUUAUCCAGAGAAAUGCUUCCGGGCUCUAGACAUCCACUCUACUCUGCGGCUGGCUUUCUUUGCCACUCCUGAGCUGCCUUCUCCACAACUUCAAUGUGAGUACCUGUCUUGAAGGCUAGCCAGCCCACCAGCGCUUCUGUGCACCCCAAGCACCCACACUGGAUUUAAAGAAUAAGUCCUCAGGGAGAGGCUGCUGUUGCCUGCAGGUUUGUUUGUUUAUUACACCCUCCAGGAAGCUUCUCAACCCUCAAGAUACUAAGCUGUUUGCUACCUAACGUGUUCAAUAUCUGGUUUUCCCCCAAAGACUGUAACUUCUUGAAUACAGGAAAUAAGUUAUUGGCUGUGUUUUGCAAAUAAACAUCAAUUAAUG